UACGGGGGGGGCAAGCGUUGUUCGGAAUUACUGGGCGUAAAGGGUUUGUAGGUGGCUUGUUAAGUCAGACGUGAAAUCCCUCGGCUCAACCGAGGAACUGCAUCCGAUACUGGCGGGCUUGAAUCCGGGAGAGGGAUGUGGAAUUCCAGGUGUAGCGGUGAAAUGCGUAGAUAUCUGGAGGAACACCGGUGGCGAAGGCGGCAUCCUAGACCGGUAUUGACGCUGAGGCGCGAAAGCUAGGGGAGCAAACGGG
rnacentral:rRNA from 1 species